rnacentral:rRNA from 1 species
UCAGANUGAACGCNGCGGCAUGCNUACNCAUGCAAGUCGAACGNCAGCACGGGUGCUUGCACUGGUGGCGAGUGGCGAACGGGUGAGUAAUACAUCGGAACAUGUCCUGUAGUGGGGAUAGCCCGGCGAAAGCCGGAUUAAUACCGCAUACGAUCUACGGAUGAAAGCGGGGGACNUUCGGGCCUCGCGCUAUAGGGUUGGCCGAUGGCUGAUUAGCUAGUUGGUGGGGUAAAGGCCUACCAAGGCGACGAUCAGUAGCUGGUCUGAGAGGACGACCAGCCACACUGGGACUGAGACACGGCCCAGACUCNUACGGGAGGCAGCAGUGGGGAAUUUUGGACAAUGGGCGAAAGCCUGAUCCAGCAAUGCCGCGUGUGUGAAGAAGGCCUUCGGGUUGUAAAGCACUUUUGUCCGGAAAGAAAUCCUUGGUCCUAAUAUGGCCGGGGGAUGACGGUACCGGAAGAAUAAGCACCGGCUAACUACGUGCCAGCAGCCGCGGUAAUACGUAGGGUGCAAGCGUUAAUCGGAAUUACUGGGCGUAAAGCGUGCGCAGGCGGUUUGCUAAGACCGAUGUGAAAUCCCCGGGCUCAACCUGGGAACUGCAUUGGUGACUGGCAGGCUAGAGUAUGGCAGAGGGGGGUAGAAUUCCACGUGUAGCAGUGAAAUGCGUAGAGAUGUGGAGGAAUACCGAUGGCGAAGGCAGCCCCCUGGGCCAAUACUGACGCUCAUGCACGAAAGCGUGGGGAGCAAACAGGAUUAGAUACCCUGGUAGUCCACGCCCUAAACGAUGUCAACUAGUUGUUGGGGAUUCAUUUCCUUAGUAACGUAGCUAACGCGUGAAGUUGACCGCCUGGGGAGUACGGUCGCAAGAUUAAAACUCAAAGGAAUUGACGGGGACCCGCACAAGCGGUGGAUGAUGUGGAUUAAUUCGAUGCAACGCGAAAAACCUUACCUACCCUUGACAUGGUCGGAAUCCUGCUGAGAGGCGGGAGUGCUCGAAAGAGAAC